AUUCUUUAUGGCCUUGCUGUGAUUUGCUCCUUCUACCGGAUCCCUAUGGGUCACUGAGUAGGUGCUGGGCCACUCAAGGGGCUGUGGGAAGACUGAUGAGAGGCAUUGCUCAGCCUCUCAGAGCAAAGUGGAGCUACAGGCAUGGCCAUAGGCAAGCAUGCUGUCCCCAGCCACUAAGGGACAGAGCAGCAAGCCUCAGACAGACCUGAGAAGAGGGGGCAUGAUGGGCUGAAUCGUGACCCCCAAAAGAUGUUGAAGCCCUAAUCUCCAGUACCUGUGAAUAAGAUCUUGUUUGGAAAUAGUCUUUGCAAAUGAUCAAUUUAAGAUAAGACCAUUAGGGUGGGAUCUAAUCCAAUAUUACCACUAUCCUUACAAAAAGAGGAAAUUUGGACACAGAGCCAGACACAUGGAGGGAAGAUGAUUUCAAGACAUAGGAAGAAGAUGACCACCUUCAAGCCAAGGAAUGCCCAAGGCUACCAGAAGCCAGAAAAGAGGCCAGGAACAGAUUCUUCUUCAUUGCUGUCAGAAGGAACCAACCCUGCUAGCACCUUGAUCUUGGACUUCCAGCCUCAGAAAAGAGGCCAGGAACAGAUUCUUCUUCAUUGCUGUCAGAAGGAACCAACCCUGCUAGCACCUUGAUCUUGGACUUCCAGCCUCAGAAAAGAGGCCAGGAACAGAUUCUUCUUCAUUGCUGUCAGAAGGAACCAACCCUGCUAGCACCUUGAUCUUGGACUUCCAGCCUCAGAACUGUGUGACAAUGAAUGUCCAUUAUCUGAGACACUCUCUCAGUGUCCUUUGUCACAGCAACCCCAGGGAACUCAUACAGGAGGCAAGUGGCUUCCCCCACCAUAGCUCUGUGGUCUCCUGGGUGGGACCUGCUGUGUUGCUCUCAGAGGCUGCUUAAAAACAGCUGGCCCUGGGCCACUCUGCUGGGGCUCCUGCUUGAAGGAAGGACAGAACUUCAGGUGUAUUUAUAUGAAAUAUACAAUUACUAUACCCUCUCCAAGAAAGCACUUAAUAGAUGACCACUCCAGAAAAAGUGAGGUUUGUCCUGUGCUUUGUCCAGAUUCCUCUUUCUGUCUGUUAGUGAUGGUCACUGAAUUCGCCCCAGAGAUUAGAAUUUCCUGGAAUGUUUGCUAAAAUGAAGACUCCCAGAGGCCUCCACAGAUCUACAGAAUAAGAAUCUCUCAUGAUGGGACUCAGAAAUCUCCAAUCAAUCAUCCACCCUCCUCCUCCCUACCCCAGGAUACUGAUGCAGACAGCCUGGCCACCCCUUUUGGAGAAACACGAUUGCAGAUGACUGAUUAAAUUGUAUGGCUUUACCUCUCUUAUAUAUGCAUUUUGGGAAGCAAUACAAUUUCUGCAGGUUAAAGCCAAAGGAAUGAUGAUCUAGCUGUGAAAUGUUAGACUUCGUUGAGUUGGGUGGUGGAGACACCUCCUCAACUAGCUCUUCAGCCUAGGCUGGGCUCGUUCCUCCAGUAAAUGAAAUCUAGAAGAAAUUUCCCAUCAUGUGCAGAAAUACGAACUACACACAGCAGAUUUUCAACUUCUACAAGAAGAUGGCAGAAGACAUGAACAAUGAAUUGGAAAGAAUCACUUCCUUUUACCAAAAGGAGAUUCUCUUCUAUGAGGAAGAGCUCAAGAAAGCUGGGCAGCAGUUCUGCUGACUGAGAUAAAGCUCCAUGAGCUAAAACAACAAAAUGAUGGCAACAGGCAAAUCAUGGCUGAUGUGGAGUUCAAGUUCCAGCCUUUCCCAAGCAGCCCCUUUGCUCCUGCUGCUCCAGGCGCAGCUCACAGAGGAGUGGAAGUACUAGGGGCCCCCUGGGUCAUCAGGUUCCCAGCAAGGAAGAGGCAGGUGCUGUGAGGCUCAGGGAUCCAGGGGUACCUGCAGGUUUCACUCAGAGUUUAUGAUUUGUUUGUUUUCGUCCUUAAAAGUAAUUUUCAUUUAUCUUCUAGUUAAGCUACUGUUAUUUAAUUGAUGUGCAAUUUCUCUUUCUGAAGUUUUAUAGUACUAUAAUUUCUAAAAUUGUAUUUUUAAAUAUACAUUUAUUUAAAAUAGCUCUUAUGAAUACAUUAUUUCAAAAUCAUUGGACCCUCUAAAAUUAUAUGCAUAAGUAUUAUAUUUUGAUUUAAAUAACAGGUCCACUAUGAUUUAAACUGUCAUCAAAAUUGGACAUGAAUAGAAACAUGGAAAACAAUAAAGUUCACUUCUGUAAGCUAUUAUUA
rnacentral:lncRNA from 10 species